GACGGUACCCUACAGAAAAGGAGCCGCUAACUUCGUGCCAGAAGCGUCGGUAAUACGGGGGCUCCAAGCGUUAUCCGGUGUUAUGGGGCGUAAAGAGUCGUGUAGGUGGUUGGGUAAGUUAUCUUUCAAAUAUCUUUGCUUAACAAAGAGGAGGGGGAUAAUACUGCUCGACUAGAAUUUUCUCAAGGGAGAUCGGAACCGAGGGAGGAGUAGUGAAAUGCGUUGAUACCCUCGGGAACACCAGUGGCGUAGGCGGAUCUCUGGGAGAAGAUUGACACUGAGACACGAAAGCUAGGGGAGCGAAGCAGAUUAGAGACCUGCGUAGUCCUAGCCGUAAACGCAUGCUUGCUAGCUGCAUGAAUCUACCUUCGGGUGGUAUCGUGUGGCGAAGGUAACCCGUUAAGCAAGCCGCCUGGAAAGUACGGCCGCAAGGCUGAAAUUCAAAGGAAUUGGCGGGGAGGCACACAACCAGUGGAACAUGUGGUUUAAUUCGAGACUAACCGAAGAACCUCACCAGGGUUUGACAUGUAGCUGCACGUCUUAAGAAAUUAAGACUCUCUUGAAGGUGCUACACAGGUGCUGCAUGGCUGUCGUCAGCUCGUUCCGUGAGGAGUGCCCUUAAGUGGGACAACGAGCGCAACCCCUAUUACAUGUUAGAAAUGUCAUGUAAGACUGCCUUGCCAUUUGGCGGGGAGGAAGGAGGGGCAGACGUCAAGUCCGCAUGGUCCUUAUGCCCUGGGCUACACACAUGUUACAAUGAGUACGGCAAUGAGUCUGUCGCGAGCACGUAAGUGUAAGCUAAUCUCUUAAAUGUACUCUCAGUGGGGAUUGAGGUCUGCAACUCGACCUCAUGAACACGGAAUUGGUAGUAAUCGCGGGUCAGCUAUACCGCGGUGAAUACGUUCUUGCCUCUUGCA
rnacentral:rRNA from 1 species